rnacentral:rRNA from 1 species
UCGUACGCUUCUUUUUCCACCGGAGCUUGCUCCACCGGAAAAAGAAGAGUGGCGAACGGGUGAGUAACACGUGGGUAACCUGCCCAUCAGAAGGGGAUAACACUUGGAAACAGGUGCUAAUACCGUAUAACAAUCGAAACCGCAUGGUUUUGAUUUGAAAGGCGCUUUCGGGUGUCGCUGAUGGAUGGACCCGCGGUGCAUUAGCUAGUUGGUGAGGUAACGGCUCACCAAGGCCACGAUGCAUAGCCGACCUGAGAGGGUGAUCGGCCACAUUGGGACUGAGACACGGCCCAAACUCCUACGGGAGGCAGCAGUAGGGAAUCUUCGGCAAUGGACGAAAGUCUGACCGAGCAACGCCGCGUGAGUGAAGAAGGUUUUCGGAUCGUAAAACUCUGUUGUUAGAGAAGAACAAGGAUGAGAGUAACUGUUCAUCCCUUGACGGUAUCUAACCAGAAAGCCACGGCUAACUACGUGCCAGCAGCCGCGGUAAUACGUAGGUGGCAAGCGUUGUCCGGAUUUAUUGGGCGUAAAGCGAGCGCAGGCGGUUUCUUAAGUCUGAUGUGAAAGCCCCCGGCUCAACCGGGGAGGGUCAUUGGAAACUGGGAGACUUGAGUGCAGAAGAGGAGAGUGGAAUUCCAUGUGUAGCGGUGAAAUGCGUAGAUAUAUGGAGGAACACCAGUGGCGAAGGCGGCUCUCUGGUCUGUAACUGACGCUGAGGCUCGAAAGCGUGGGGAGCAAACAGGAUUAGAUACCCUGGUAGUCCACGCCGUAAACGAUGAGUGCUAAGUGUUGGAGGGUUUCCGCCCUUCAGUGCUGCAGCUAACGCAUUAAGCACUCCGCCUGGGGAGUACGACCGCAAGGUUGAAACUCAAAGGAAUUGACGGGGGCCCGCACAAGCGGUGGAGCAUGUGGUUUAAUUCGAAGCAACGCGAAGAACCUUACCAGGUCUUGACAUCCUUUGACCACUCUAGAGAUAGAGCUUCCCCUUCGGGGGCAAAGUGACAGGUGGUGCAUGGUUGUCGUCAGCUCGUGUCGUGAGAUGUUGGGUUAAGUCCCGCAACGAGCGCAACCCUUAUUGUUAGUUGCCAUCAUUUAGUUGGGCACUCUAGCAAGACUGCCGGUGACAAACCGGAGGAAGGUGGGGAUGACGUCAAAUCAUCAUGCCCCUUAUGACCUGGGCUACACACGUGCUACAAUGGGAAGUACAACGAGUCGCGAAGUCGCGAGGCUAAGCUAAUCUCUUAAAGCUUCUCUCAGUUCGGAUUGUAGGCUGCAACUCGCCUACAUGAAGCCGGAAUCGCUAGUAAUCGCGGAUCAGCACGCCGCGGUGAAUACGUUCCCGGGCCUUGUACACACCGCCCGUCACACCACGAGAGUUUGUAACACCCGAAGUCGGUGAGGUAA